AGUGAACGCUGGCGGUAGGCCUAACACAUGCAAGUCGAACGGCAGCACAGUAAGAGCUUGCUCUUACGGGUGGCGAGUGGCGGACGGGUGAGGAAUACAUCGGAAUCUACUUUUUCGUGGGGGAUAACGUAGGGAAACUUACGCUAAUACCGCAUACGACCUACGGGUGAAAGCAGGGGAUCUUCGGACCUUGCGCGAUUGAAUGAGCCGAUGUCGGAUUAGCUAGUUGGCGGGGUAAAGGCCCACCAAGGCGACGAUCCGUAGCUGGUCUGGGAGGAUGAUCAGCCACACUGGAACUGAGACACGGUCCAGACUCCUACGGGAGGCAGCAGUGGGGAAUAUUGGACAAUGGGCGCAAGCCUGAUCCAGCCAUACCGCGUGGGUGAAGAAGGCCUUCGGGUCGUAAAGCCCUUUUGUUGGGAAAGAAAAGCAGCAGGUUAAUACCCCGCUGUUCUGACGGUACCCAAAGAAUAAGCACCGGCUAACUUCGUG
rnacentral:rRNA from 1 species